CAAUAGCGUAUAUUAAAGCUGUUGCGGUUAAAAAGCUCGUAGUUGGAUUUCUGUCAAGGACAACUGGUCCGCCCCUCGGGUGAGCACAUAGUUUGGUCUUGGCAUCUUGUUGGAAACUGUUGCUGCACUUGGUUGUGUGGCGCAGUGUCCAGCACUUUCACUUUGAGCAAAUUGGAGUGUUUCAAGCAGGCACAUGCCUUUGGACACAGUAGCAUGGAAUAAUUAGAUUGGGCUUUUGCUCCAACUUGUCGGUUUCUGGAGCUGAGGUGAGAAUUAAUGGGGAUUGUUGGGGGCAUCCGAAUUUAGCCGUCAGAGGUGAAAUUCUUGGAUCUGCUAAAGACGGACAACUGCGAAAGCGUUUGCCCAGGAUGUUUUCAUUGA
rnacentral:rRNA from 1 species